rnacentral:rRNA from 1 species
GAUCCUGGCUCAGAUUGAACGCUGGCGGCAUGCUUUACACAUGCAAGUCGAACGGCAGCACGGGUGCUUGCACCUGGUGGCGAGUGGCGGACGGGUGAGUAAUACAUCGGAACGUGUCCAGAAGGAGGGGGAUAACGCAUCGAAAGAUGUGCUAAUACCGCAUAUGCUCUGAGGAGGAAAGUAGGGGAUCGAAAGACCUUACGCUUUUGGAGCGGCCGAUGUCUGAUUAGCUAGUUGGUGGGGUAAGGGCCUACCAAGGCGACGAUCAGUAGUUGGUCUGAGAGGACGACCAGCCACACUGGGACUGAGACACGGCCCAGACUCCUACGGGAGGCAGCAGUGGGGAAUUUUGGACAAUGGGCGCAAGCCUGAUCCAGCAAUGCCGCGUGCAGGAAGAAGGCCUUCGGGUUGUAAACUGCUUUUGUACGGAACGAAACGGUCCGGGUUAAUACCCUGGGCUAAUGACGGUACCGUAAGAAUAAGCACCGGCUAACUACGUG